rnacentral:rRNA from 1 species
AACAGCUCAAAUUUGAAAUCUGGCCCUCGGGUCCGAGUUGUAAUUUGCAGAGGAUGCUUUUGGCGCGGUGCCUUCCGAGUUCCCUGGAACGGGACGCCUUAGAGGGUGAGAGCCCCGUACGGUUGGACACCAAGCCUCUGUAAAGCUCCUUCGACGAGUCGAGUAGUUUGGGAAUGCUGCUCUAAAUGGGAGGUAAAUUUCUUCUAAAGCUAAAUAUUGGCCAGAGACCGAUAGCGCACAAGUAGAGUGAUCGAAAGAUGAAAAGCACUUUGAAAAGAGGGUUAAACAGCACGUGAAAUUGUUGAAAGGGAAGCGUUUGCGACCAGACCUCUUCCCGGCGGAUCAUCCGGUGGUUUCCACCGGUGCACUUCGCCGGGUCGAGGCCAGCAUCGGUCUCUGCAGGGGGAUAAAAGCCCUGGGAACGUAGCUCCUCCGGGAGUGUUAUAGCCCUUCGCAUAAUACCCUUGCGGGGACCGAGGACCGCGCCUUCGGGCAAGGAUGCUGGCGUAAUGGUCGUCAACGACCCGUCUUGAAACACGGACCAAGGAGUCGAACAUUUGUGCGAGUGUUUGGGUGUCAAACCCUCACGCGUAAUGAAAGUGAACGGAGGUGAGAGCCCUUACGGGCGCAUCAUCGACCGAUCCUGAUGUCUUCGGAUGGAUUUGAGUAAGAGCAUAACUGUUCGGACCCGAAAGAUGGUGAACUAUGCGUGGAUAGGGUGAAGCCAGAGGAAACUCUGGUGGAGGCUCGCAGCGGUUCUGACGUGCAAAUCGAUCGUCAAAUCUGCGCAUGGGGGCGAAAGACUUAUCGAACCAUCUAGUAGCUGGUUACCGCCGAAGUUUCCCUCAGGAUAGCAGUGUUGUUCUUCAGUUUUAUGAGGUAAAGCGAAUGAUUAGGGACUCGGGGGCGCUUUUUUGCCUUCAUCCAUUCUCAAACUUUAAAUAUGUAAGAAGCCCUUGUUACUUAGUUGAACGUGGGCAUUCGAAUGUACCAACACUAGUGGGCCAUUUUUGGUAAGCAGAACUGGCGAUGCGGGAUGAACCGAACGCGGGGUUAAGGUGCCGGAGUGGACGCUCAUCAGACACCACAAAAGGUGUUAGCACAUUUAGACAAUAGGACGGUGGCCAUGGAAGUCGGAAUCCGCUAAGGACUGUGUAACAACUCACCUAUCGAAUGUGCUAGCCCUGAAAAUGGAUGGCGCUCAAGCGUCCCACCCAUACCUCGCCCUCA